rnacentral:misc_RNA from 1 species
GUGAAUCAUCGAAUUUUUGAACGCAAAUUGCACUUUUUGGUAUUCCGGAAAGUAUGUCUGUUUGCGGGUCAGUUAAAUAAAAACAGGUGUUGUUGCUGCUUUUCGUGGUGGGGCGUCGGAAUUGUGUUGUUUUAUGUUCGGUUAUGUGAAUUAAAAUUUUGCAUGUUUUUCGAACGUAUUUAAAUUUAUUAUGUCUGUUUGAGUUAUAGAACACUUUAUUAGGUUCGGUCAUCCUC